CGCACAGUGGAUCCUAGGCAUAUAAGUCUACGCCAACUUCAGGAUC
rnacentral:misc_RNA from 1 species